CACGUAGUUAGCCGGUGCUUUUUCUGCAGGUACCGUCACUUUCGCUUCUUCCCUGCUAAAAGAGGUUUACGACCCGAAGGCCUUCGUCCCUCACGCGGCGUUGCUGCAUCAGGCUUGCGCCCAUUGUGCAAUAUUCCCCACUGCUGCCUCCCGUAGGAGUCUGGGCCGUGUCUCAGUCCCAGUGUGGCCGGUUACCCUCUCAGGCCGGCUACCCGUCGUCGGCUUGGUGAGCCGUUACCUCACCAACUACCUGAUAGGCCGCGAGUCCAUCCUUGACCGAAAUUCUUUCCAGCAACUCACCAUGCGGUGGAAGCUCGUAUCCGGUAUUAGACGCCGUUUCCAGCGCUUAUCCCAGAGUCAAGGGCAGGUUACUCACGUGUUACUCACCCGUUCGCCACUAAUCCACCCAGCAAGCUGGGCUUCAUCGUUCGACUUGCAUGUGUUAAGCACGCCGCCAGCGUUCAUCCUGAGCCAGGAUCAAACUCU
rnacentral:rRNA from 1 species